rnacentral:rRNA from 1 species
CCUACGGGUGGCUGCAGUGAGGAAUAUUGGUCAAUGGACGAGAGUCUGAACCAGCCAAGUCGCGUGAAGGAUGACUGCCCUAUGGGUUGUAAACUUCUUUUGUCUGGGAGUAAAUUGUUCCACGUGUGGGCUUUUGUAUGUACCAUAUGAAUAAGGAUCGGCUAAAUCCGGUCCAGCAGCCGCGGGAAUCCGGGGGGUCCGAGCGUUGUCCGGAUUUGUUGGGUUUAAAGGGGUCGGAGGGGGAGUGUUAAGGCAGUUGGUAAAGUUUGGGGCUCAACCGUAAAAUUGCAGUUGAAACUGGUAGUCAUGAGUAUAGGAGAGGUGGGCGGAAUGCGUGGUGUAGCGGUGAAAUGCGUAGAUAUCACGAAGAACUCCGAUUGCGAAGGCAGCUAACUGGACUGCAACUGACACUGAGGCUCGAAAGCGUGGGUAUCAAACAGGAUUAGAUACCCGGGUAGUC